UACGUAGGGUGCAAGCGUUGUCCGGAAUUAUUGGGCGUAAAGAGCUCGUAGGCGGUUUGUCGCGUCUGCUGUGAAAACUCGGGGCUUAACUCCGGGCCUGCAGUGGGUACGGGCAGACUAGAGUGCGGAAGAGGCGAGUGGAAUUCCUGGUGUAGCGGUGAAAUGCGUAGAUAUCAGGAGGAACACCGGUGGCGAAGGCGGCUCUCUGGACGGAUACUGACGCUGAGGCGCGAAAAGCGUGGGGGAUCAAACAGG
rnacentral:rRNA from 1 species